ACACUUGCAAAGUUCAUUAACAAGCAAGCCCGAGAAUCCUCCCGCAGCUCCGCCAUUGCUGAUGCAUUUGAGGCCUGGCCAGACAAACACAGAGAGCUUUAUGGCAACUUGAACUUUCUGGGAAUGAAUGAGCUUCGGGGACUAGCUCUGCAGCCUCCCACCAACUUUCUAGGCUGCUGGUUGGAGUUGGGCUGGGAGGCAACCUGGUCUCGGGUAGAAGACUACACUUCCCAGCCUCCUUCGCAGCUAGAUGUAGUCAUGUGACAUUGUGGCCAAUGAGGUGCCUGCAGAAGUUCAUCAACAAACCUGUGGAAUCUUCUUAAAAGGCCAGUGGGAAAGGGGACCUGUUUGACCUUAAGCCUUCUUUCCCUCCUACAGCCUGGGCUGCAGAUGAGGUGGCUGAAGCUUGACAGCUAUCUUAGAUCACAAGAUUCUUCAGCACCUGCUCUGAUGGGUUCUUUGAAAAAUUCAUCUCUUGAAUAAUGAAACAACGGCCUGAGGGAGGAACGUGGAAAUAGACGGUUUACAGCCAAAGCCCAGAAGGAAGCUGUGGACUUCUUGAAUCUCCCGAGGACCCGUGGGUCUUCACUCUGAAAGGAAGGAUUGUCCACCCGGCUCAGCAUCUCAUCUCUACAACCGGAGGUUGAAGUCCCUAAUGCUGACCUUUAAAUAGCGGAUGUGUGGAUCGUUCCAACAUGGCUGGACUCUGAAAGAUGGCUUUCAUCCUGUCCAGGAUACGAGAUUGCACCCACGCUUUAUCCAGCAUGAAGGAGCAGAGCACUUCCUGGGAGAAGACAGACCUUGGCUUUGUGAGCGGGACACGUGGAAACGGGAGCUUUGUCGGGUGGGUCUGAGGGACAUGGCAGGCCAGCCACCUGAACAGUGAACUUGAGUGAUUGCAUAUACUAAUGAUGGUUACAACAGUGCUCUGUAGCUACUUCCUGUUUUGUUACCACCAUGCAAGAGGCUCAGCCUCUCUGGGUUCUGGGCAGCUUGUGGCUUCCACAGUGAGCAUUCCAAGAAGGAAACUAGCUUCUGGAGUUGAGCCCUGACUUCUCUUUGUCCCUGCAGGUGAGGUGACUCAAAGUCUCCUUUCAACACCUAUUCUUCAUUCUCUUGCUGGGGGCCUGGAGGUUUAUUGGCCUGUCCCACCAAGACACCCGGGAUGGUCACAUAGAAUAGUUACACAUUCCCCCGACAGGUCUUCUAGCUCUGUCAUUCUCGUUCAAGCCCUGCGUUCUCUACAUUUGAUCCAGGAAGGCAUUGCCUGUCUAUAGGCAUCAGAUGCUGUAGUGGGCUGACCCUUUCUCAGCUGGUUGGGUCAUUUGUGACUGGGCCACUGUUUCUAGUCAUUGGUAGUUUUUCAUCUCAAUCCCCUUCAACCUCUUCUCUGUCUUGAGACUGAUCCCAUGGUCUUGGAAAUCUCCGAGCCAAUGGUGGGUCAGCAUUCCAGCCCCCCCCAUCUCCGCCCCCUGUCCCCUAAGAAUUCCAUGGACUGACCAUGUAUGGGUUUAUCAGAGGGCCCAGCAGAAUUCAGCCUGGGUCCCCAGUCCACAGCACAUGUAUUUUUAGAUUCCUUCCUUGCUUGCUCUAUUCCCCCACUCCCUCUCUUGGGCUUCCAGGAGGUGCCUCCAGAAUGAGCCACUUGCACCAGUGACCUUAUAUUGAGAUCUGUUCUGUCUAUUAGUAGGGGCUCUCUAGAGGAACAGAAGUAAUAGGCUGAAUAUAUAUCAAGAGGGGGUUUAUUAGAUUGGCUUCCAUGAUAUAGUAUAGUCCAACAAUGGCUGUCAUCAUAUCAGAGGCUGAGAACCAGUGGUUGUUCUGUCCUCGAGGCUGGAUGCCCCAGCAGUUCUUAUCUGGUAUUGGAGGCCUGGUGAGUUCCUCGAGAGCCCCUGGUCUUCCAUAGUGGAAGGCUGAGGAAGUGGAGUUCCCGAGUCAGCUGAGGAUGGUGGUGGUGGUGGCGGCGGCGGCAGCGGCAGUAGCAGCAGCAGGGUAGACGCAUCCACAGUGAGGUCUGUCUUUCCACUGUGGGUCCCAGGGAUCAGAUGUCAGUCAUCAGUCUUUAUAGUAGGUGCUUUUACACUCUGACCCAUCUCACUGACCCCAACGUUAAUUCUUUAUGAAAAAGAAACAAUAUAAAAUGUACUCGAGUCUCCAAACAGACUCGACGUAUGCAUGUCAAAGAAUUCUUUUAAAUAAAUGUAUUGGUGAUUUUUACCAGUAAAUUUUUAUUUGAAUAUUUUAUAUAUUACCUAUGCAAAAAUAAAUUUCUUGUGUUAAAAAAAAUAGUCACAGCUGGAAAAAGUACAAGAAACUCUAGCUUAAAUCUUCACCAGUUUCCUUCGCCAAGACAUGUCGUGCCGUCCAGGAUAUUCAGUGCACAGAAUAAAAUCAAGGAGAACGUUCUUGCCUUCUGUCCUUAGUCCACUUGAGACAGAAAGUGAUUUUUACAGGUAUCUUUAAUUCCUGGAAACAUAACAUUUUGUGCCAGUUUAACUAAGUAAGAAAGCAAGGAAAUUCAGCCUUUGAGAUCUGUCCCAUCCACCCCCCCCCCCACUUCUCUGCUUCAAGGAGGAGUGGAGGAGGCAUGAAUAAUAAAUAUGUAGAUAAGAGAAUGAAACUGGGAAAUCAAUUUACUGCAAAGUAUUUGCAUAUUUUAUUAAAAGAAACUGUGUCUGAGAUCCA
rnacentral:lncRNA from 1 species